rnacentral:rRNA from 1 species
GACGAGCGCUGGCGGCGUGCCUAAUACAUGCAAGUUGAGCGCUGAAGGUUGGUACUUGUACCAACUGGAUGAGCAGCGAACGGGUGAGUAACGCGUGGGGAAUCUGCCUUUGAGCGGGGGACAACAUUUGGAAACGAAUGCUAAUACCGCAUAAAAACUUUAAACACAAGUUUUAAGUUUGAAAGAUGCAAUUGCAUCACUCAAAGAUGAUCCCGCGUUGUAUUAGCUAGUUGGUGAGGUAAAGGCUCACCAAGGCGAUGAUACAUAGCCGACCUGAGAGGGUGAUCGGCCACAUUGGGAAUGAGACACGGCCCAAACUCCUACGGGAGGCAGCAGUAGGGAAUCUUCGGCAAUGGACGAAAGUCUGACCGAGCAACGCCGCGUGAGUGAAGAAGGUUUUCGGAUCGUAAAACUCUGUUGGUAGAGAAGAACGUUGGUGAGAGUGGAAAGCUCAUCAAGUGACGGUAACUACCCAGAAAGGGACGGCUAACUACGUG